CCUACGGGAGGCUGCAGUGGGGAAUAUUGGACAAUGGGGGGAACCCUGUUCCAGCCAUGCCGCGUGUGUGAAGAAGGCCCUCGGGUUGUAAAGCACUUUCAGUGAGGAAGAACGCCUGGUGGUUAAUACCCAUCAGGAAAGACAUCACUCACAGAAGAAGCACCGGCUAACUCCGUGCCAGCAGCCGCGGUAAUACGGAGGGUGCGAGCGUUAAUCGGAAUUACUGGGCGUAAAGCGCGCGUAGGUGGCUUGAUAAGCCGGUUGUGAAAGCCCCGGGCUCAACCUGGGAACGGCAUCCGGAACUGUCAAGCUAGAGUGCAGGAGAGGAAGGUAGAAUUCCCGGUGUAGCGGUGAAAUGCGUAGAGAUCGGGAGGAAUACCAGUGGCGAAGGCGGCCUUCUGGACUGACACUGACACUGAGGUGCGAAAGCGUGGGUAGCAAACAGGAUUAGAUACCCUUGUAGUC
rnacentral:rRNA from 1 species